rnacentral:rRNA from 1 species
GACAGAGGGUGCAAGCGUUGUUCGGAAUUAUUGGGCGUAAAGGGCGCGUAGGUGGCCUUGUAAGUCGGAUGUGAAAGCCCAGGGCUUAACCCUGGAAGUGCAUCUGAUACUGCUUGGCUUGAGUCCUGGAGAGGGUGGUGGAAUUCCUGGUGUAGAGGUGAAAUUCGUAGAUAUCAGGAGGAACACCGGUGGCGAAGGCGACCACCUGGACAGAGACUGACACUGAGGCGCGAAAGCGUGGGGAGCAAACAGG